GGGUGGAUUAGUGGCGAACGGGUGAGUAACACGUGGGCAAUCUGCCCUUCACUCUGGGACAAGCCCUGGAAACGGGGUCUAAUACCGGAUAACACUUCCGUCCUCCUGGACGGUGGUUAAAAGCUCCGGCGGUGAAGGAUGAGCCCGCGGCCUAUCAGCUUGUUGGUGAGGUAAUGGCUCACCAAGGCGACGACGGGUAGCCGGCCUGAGAGGGCGACCGGCCACACUGGGACUGAGACACGGCCCAGACUCCUACGGGAGGCAGCAGUGGGGAAUAUUGCACAAUGGGCGAAAGCCUGAUGCAGCGACGCCGCGUGAGGGAUGACGGCCUUCGGGUUGUAAACCUCUUUCAGCAGGGAAGAAGCGAAAGUGACGGUACCUGCAGAAGAAGCGCCGGCUAACUACGUGCCAGCAGCCGCGGUAAUACGUAGGGCGCAAGCGUUGUCCGGAAUUAUUGGGCGUAAAGAGCUCGUAGGCGGCUUGUCGCGUCGGUUGUGAAAGCCCGGGGCUUAACCCCGGGUCUGCAGUCGAUACGGGCAGGCUAGAGUGUGGUAGGGGAGAUCGGAAUUCCUGGUGUAGCGGUGAAAUGCGCAGAUAUCAGGAGGAACACCGGUGGCGAAGGCGGAUCUCUGGGCCAUUACUGACGCUGAGGAGCGAAAGCGUGGGGAGCGAACAGGAUUAGAUACCCUGGUAGUCCACGCCGUAAACGGUGGGAACUAGGUGUUGGCGACAUUCCACGUCGUCGGUGCCG
rnacentral:rRNA from 1 species